UGACCUCAAAUCGGGUGAGACUACCCGCUGAACUUAAGCAUAUCAAAA
rnacentral:rRNA from 1 species